CCGGUAAACGGCGGCCGUAACUAUAACGGUCCUAAGGUAGCGAAAUUCCUUGUCGGGUAAGUUCCGACCUGCACGAAUGGCGUAAUGAUGGCCAGGCUGUCUCCACCCGAGACUCAGUGAAAUUGAACUCGCUGUGAAGAUGCAGUGUACCCGCGGCAAGACGGAAAGACCCCGUGAACCUUUACUAUAGCUUGACACUGAACAUUGAGCCUUGAUGUGUAGGAUAGGUGGGAGGCUUUGAAGUGUGGACGCCAGUCUGCAUGGAGCCGACCUUGAAAUACCACCCUUUAAUGUUUGAUGUUCUAACGUGGACCCGUAAUCCGGGUUGCGGACAGUGUCUGGUGGGUAGUUUGACUGGGGCGGUCUCCUCCUAAAGAGUAACGGAGGAGCACGAAGGUUGGCUAAUCCUGGUCGGACAUCAGGAGGUUAGUGCAAUGGCAUAAGCCAGCUUGACUGCGAGCGUGACGGCGCGAGCAGGUGCGAAAGCAGGUCAUAGUGAUCCGGUGGUUCUGAAUGGAAGGGCCAUCGCUCAACGGAUAAAAGGUACUCCGGGGAUAACAGGCUGAUACCGCCCAAGAGUUCAUAUCGACGGCGGUGUUUGGCACCUCGAUGUCGGCUCAUCACAUCCUGGGGCUGAAGUAGGUCCCAAGGGUAUGGCUGUUCGCCAUUUAAAGUGGUACGCGAGCUGGGUUUAGAACGUCGUGAGACAGUUCGGUCCCUA
rnacentral:rRNA from 1 species